rnacentral:rRNA from 1 species
GUCUCAGUUCGGAUUGAAGGCUGAAAUUCGCCUUCAUGGAGCCGGAAUUGCUAGUAAUGGCAGGUCAGCAUACUGCCGUGAAUACGUUCCCGGGCCUUGUACACACCGCCCGUCACACCAUGAGAGUUGGGAAUACCCGAAGCCUGUGAGCUAACUUUUAGAGGCAGCAGUCGAAGGUAGAAUCAAUGAUUGGGGUGAAGUCGUAACAAGGUAGC